rnacentral:rRNA from 1 species
AAAACUUUCAACAACGGAUCUCUUGGUUCUGGCAUCGAUGA